CGUAAAGGGCUCGCAGGCGGUUUCUUAAGUCUGAUGUGAAAGCCCCCGGCUCAACCGGGGAGGGUCAUUGGAAACUGGGAAACUUGAGUGCAGAAGAGGAGAGUGGAAUUCCACGUGUAGCGGUGAAAUGCGUAGAGAUGUGGAGGAACACCAGUGGCGAAGGCGACUCUCUGGUCUGUAACUGACGCUGAGGAGCGAAAGCGUGGGGAGCGAACAGGAUUAGAUACCCUGGUAGUCCACGCCGUAAACGAUGAGUGCUAAGUGUUAGGGGGUUUCCGCCCCUUAGUGCUGCAGCUAACGCAUUAAGCACUCCGCCUGGGGAGUACGGUCGCAAGACUGAAACUCAAAGGAAUUGACGGGGGCCCGCACAAGCGGUGGAGCAUGUGGUUUAAUUCGAAGCAACGCGAAGAACCUUACCAGGUCUUGACAUCCUCUGACGACCCUAGAGAUAGGGCUUUCCCUUCGGGGACAGAGUGACAGGUGGUGCAUGGGUGUCUUCAGCUCGUGUCGUGAGAUGUUGGGUUAAGUCCCGCA
rnacentral:rRNA from 1 species